GGAAGUGGGGAUGACGUCAAGUCCUCAUGGCCUUUAUGACCAGGGCUACACACGUACUACAAUGGCCGGUACAAAGGGCAGCGACACAGCGAUGUGAAGCCAAUCCCGAAAAGCCGGUCUCAGUCCGGAUUGGAGUCUGCAACUCGACUCCAUGAAGUUGGAAUCGCUAGUAAUCGCGGAUCAGCACGCCCGCGGUCGAAUACGUUCCGGCCUU
rnacentral:rRNA from 1 species